rnacentral:rRNA from 1 species
UACGGAGGGGGCUAGCGUUGUUCGGAAUUACUGGGCGUAAAGCGCACGUAGGCGGCUUUGUAAGUUAGAGGUGAAAGCCCGGGGCUCAACUCCGGAAUUGCCUUUAAGACUGCAUCGCUAGAAUUGUGGAGAGGUAAGUGGAAUUCCGAGUGUAGAGGUGAAAUUCGUAGAUAUUCGGAAGAACACCAGUGGCGAAGGCGACUUACUGGACACAUAUUGACGCUGAGGUGCGAAAGCGUGGGGAGCAAAUAGG